rnacentral:rRNA from 1 species
GACGAACGCUGGCGGCGUGCUUAACACAUGCAAGUCGAACGAUGAUGCUGGAGCUUGCUCCAGUUGAUUAGUGGCGAACGGGUGAGUAACACGUGAGCAAUCUGCCCUUGACUCUGGGAUAACUGCGGGAAACUGUAGCUAAUACCGGAUACUUUCACCGGAAGGCAUCUUUUGGUGAUGAAAGAAUUUCGGUCAGGGAUGGGCUCGCGGCCUAUCAGCUUGUUGGUGAGGUAACGGCACACCAAGGCGACGACGGGUAACCGGCCUGAGAGGGUGACCGGUCACACUGGGACUGAGACACGGCCCAGACUCCUACGGGAGGCAGCAGUGGGGAAUAUUGCACAAUGGGCGCAAGCCUGAUGCAGCAACGCCGCGUGAGGGAUGAAGGCCUUCGGGUUGUAAACCUCUUUUAGCAGGGAAGAAGCGAAAGUGACGGUACCUGCAGAAAAAGCACCGGCUAACUACGUGCCAGCCGCCGCCGUAA